GUGGACAUGAAGCUAGGGUUAUUGUUUGGGCUACGGUUAAGGUUGAACCAGGAUGUGGACAUGAAGCUAGGGUUAGGGUUUAGGCUACGGUUAAGGUUGAACCAGGAUGUGGACAUGAAGCUAGGAUUAGGGUUUAGGCUACGGUUAAGGUUGAACCAGGAUGUGGACAUGAAGCUAGGGUUAGGGUUUAGGCUACGGUUAAGGUUGAACCAGGAUGUGGACAUGAAGCUAGGGUUAUUGUUUGGGCUACGGUUAAGGUUGAACCAGGAUGUGGACAUGAAGCUAGGGUUAGGGUUUAGGCUACGGUUAAGGUUGAACCAGGAUGUGGACAUGAAGCUAGGGUUAGGGUUUAGGCUACGGUUAAGGUUGAACCAGGAUGUGGACAUGAAGCUAGAGUUAGGGUUUAGGCUACGGUUAAGGUUGAACCAGGAUGUGGACAUGAAGCUAGGGUUAGGGUUUAGGCUAUGGUUAAGGUUGAACCAGGAUGUGGACAUGAAGCUAGGGUUAGGGUUUAGGCUACGGUUAAGGUUGAACCAGGAUGUGGACAUGAAGCUAGGGUUAGGGUUUAGGCUACGGUUAAGGUUGAACCAGGAUGUGGACAUGAAGCUAGUGUUAGGGUUUAGGCUACGGUUAAGGUUGAACCAGGAUGUAGACAUGAAGUUAGGGUUAUUGUUUGGGCUACGGUUAAGGUUGAACCAGGAUGUGGACAUGAAGCUAGAGUUAGGGUUUAGGUUAAGGUUGAACCAGGAUGUGGACAUGAAGCUAGGGUUAGGGUUUAGGCUACGGUUAAGGUUGAACCAGGAUGUGGACAUGAAGUGAGGGUUAUUGUUUGGGCUACGGUUAAGGUUGAACCAGGAUGUGGACAUGAAGCUAGGGUUAGGGUUUAGGCUACGGUUAAGGUUAAGGUUGAACCAGGAUGUGGACAUGAAGCUAGGGUUAUGGUUUAGGCUACGGUUAAGGUUGAACCAGGAUGUGGACAUGAAGCUAGGGUUAGGGUUUAGGCUAUGGUUAAGGUUGAACCAGGAUGUGGACAUGAAGCUAGGGUUAGGGUUUAGGCUACGGUUAAGGUUGAACCAGGAUGUGGACAUGAAGUGAGGGUUAUUGUUUGGGCUACGGUUAAGGUUGAACCAGGAUGUGGACAUGAAGCUAGGGUUAGGGUUUAGGCUACGGUUAAGGUUGAACCAGGAUGUGGACAUGAAGCUAGGGUUAGGGUUUAGGCUACGGUUAAGGUUGAACCAGGAUGUGGACAUGAAGCUAGGUUAGGGUUUAGGCUACGGUUAAGGUUGAACCAGGAUGUGGACAUGAAGCUAGGGUUAGGGUUUAGGCUACAGUUAAGGUUGAACCAGGAUGUGGACAUGAAGCUAGGGUUAGGGUUUAGGCUACAGUUGGGUUGAUCCUCUCAAUCCUCUCAUUUGUAUUAAUUCAAAUGUUCC
rnacentral:lncRNA from 1 species